UACGGAGGAUGCGAGCGUUAUCCGGAUUUAUUGGGUUUAAAGGGUGCGUAGGCGGACGCUUAAGUCAGCGGUAAAAUUGCGGGGCUCAACCCGGGCCGGCCGUUGAAACUGGGGAUCUUGAGUGGGCGAGAAGUAUGCGGAAUGCGUGGUGUAGCGGUGAAAUGCAUAGAUAUCACGCAGAACUCCGAUUGCGAAGGCAGCAUACCGGCGCCCAACUGACGCUGAAGCACGAAAGCGUGGGUAUCGAACAGG
rnacentral:rRNA from 1 species